UAUAGUACAUAUUCAAAUUUCAGUCUGUCGACAGACCCGUUUUUCGGCGAGAAAAAAAAUUGAUUUCUCUUUCUUUACGUAAAAUAAAUAAUAUAACGAAACAAACUUUUAAUUUCUCUUUAUCUCUAAAAUAGAAAAAAAAUAUACUUAUCCAAAUUUUUGUCAAACGAAAAAUAUCAGCUGUGAAUCUAUAUUUUAAUUCGAAAUUUGUAUAGUUUCUUUUUAUCUCUAAAAUAGAAAGCAAUUCAUGCUUAUCCAAAUUUUUGUCAGAAUAUCUACUGUAAAUUUAUAUUUCGAUUCAAAAUUUAAAAUUAAUUUAAAAUUUUAAAAUUUGAGACUAUCAACAUAUAACAAUAAAAAUAAUUUAAAAGAUAGAUUGGUUCAUAAUUUUCUAAAUCAUAUUUUUGAAUUAAUAUGAUGCACAAAUUUGUGAUCAAUUUGUAAAAAAAAUAUUUAUACCGAUCUAUAAAUUCAAUUCGACGAACGAUUAUGAUCAAUUGGGUAAAAAUAUUGAAAAUAAAAAUGAACGGUUAUGAUCAAUCUGUUAAAAAAAGUACUUCUAUCCAUUCAUUUUGCAUUAAAAUUUAAAUUUGAGUUUAAAUUGUAAAUUAAAUUAAAUUUUUAAUUUUGAUAUCCAAUCUAUCCAUAUAUUUAUAUUAAAAUUUAAAUUUGAUAUUAUAGAUAUUUUCUAAUAAAAUAUAACAUAUAAAUUUACAAAAUAUUUUAUUCUAAAUUUUUGAAUAAAUAUGAUUUACAAAUUUUUAUUGAUUAAAAUAAAUUAAGAUAAUUGUUACGUGCAUUUGCACGUACGCUCAACUAGUAUAUAUAUAUAUAUAUAUAUAGAGUCCGGUUACUAUACUCUUAUGAGUACGAUCGCCUUCGUACUCAUAAGUUGUUUUCGAUGAUAGAGCUUCCGAAUCAACGAUCCAUAUCGUUAAAUAUUAUUUAGAGUAUUUAAAACUUCUAGAAAUCAAAUUUCAUAAUUUUUCGACACCAUUUACCUUACGAUCAAAAGCUUACACAAUUGACAAUUUUUAACGGCCGGUAUGGGAUCCGUGCUAGUUUAACGGUGUAAAAGAAUUGGAAUAGGUUGAAUUUUUCAUAGAAAAUUCUAUUCACUAUCUAGAUAAAGAUCAAUAAGUCUGAUCUUAAAUUGAAGGAUCCGAUCAUCCAUUUUUACGACGUCGUUCGAUUUUGACCGUUCAUUUUAUACCCGUUUGAUGGACUUUAUUAUGAUUUCGAAAAAUUACGAAAUUUAUUUUUUAGAAGUUUCAAAUACUCUAGAUCAUAUUUAACGGAGUGGAUCGUCGAUUCGGAAGACUCAUUAUCGAAAAUAACUUAUGAGUACGAAAGGCCCAAUACUCACAAGAGUAUAGUAGCUCUACUAUAUAUAUAUAUAUAGGCUACUAUGCUAUCUAUAAUACCGGAGCUCUGGUAUUAUAGUCUUGUUUUCGAUCUUAGGGUGUUCAAAUUAAUGAUCCACACCGUUAAAUAUGAUCUAAGGUAUAUGAAGUUUUUAGGAAUAAAAUUUUAGUUUUUUUUGACAUCGUUUACUUAGUAAAUAAAUUAUGUCAAAAUGGACGGUGAAAAUUGAAUAAUCUUUAAAAUUGAGCAUAGAAUUUUUAAAUUCAAGAUCAAGAAUGUUAACCUUAAUCUAGAUAGUUUAAAGUAUUUUCUAUCAAAAUUUGAAGAAAUUUAGAUUUUUCUACACCGUUAAACUCCAAACUAGCCAUAGUAGCCAUUGAAAAUUGACAAUUUUGAAAUGGUUUGAUCAUAAAGUAAAAUAUGUCGAAAAAAAUAUAAAAUUUUAUUUCUAAAAGCUUUAAAUACCCUAGAUUAGUUUUAACGGUAUGGAUCGUUGAUUUGAACACCCUAAAAUCGAAAACGGGACUAUAGUACCGGAGCUCCGGUACUAUAGAUAGUAUAGGAGACUAGCUCUAUAUAUAUAUCUAUAGAGUCCGGCUAUUUUACUAUUAAUAGCACGAAGCAUUGGUGCUACCAAGUUUUUCAUCGUUAGAUCUACCCUUUUGAUCAUUUUCACCUGUUAGGUCAUAUUAUUCAACCAUCCACCCACUCAACCCUAGGGGGCUCAUAUCAUCCUAACCAUACAUCUUUUAAUCUAAUGGCCAAAAACUUGGUAGUACCAAUGACUUGGUGCUAUUAAUAGUAUAGUAGCCUAGUUAUAUAU
rnacentral:lncRNA from 1 species